rnacentral:rRNA from 1 species
AUGGCGCACGCCACCCAUCCCGAAGACAUAAUUGCGGAGUUGACUUCCAAGUUUGAAAGAAUAUUUCACAAAGUAGGCACUCCUCUUCCUUUAGAGGAAGGUGAAUCUGCGCGAUCGUUCACUGAAAAUCAUGUAUUGUGGAAUAGUGAGGGAGGAGAUACUCUUCAACAAAUCUUCUCCGAUUAUACGGAAGCCGGGGACGCAAGCGAAUUCGUCGCAAUAGCCACCAAUCUGGCGAAGCGGUUUCGCCGCGCCGAGCUCGGUGAACCGGAUUCUCCCGACCCCGAUGCGCCUUUGGAAGAGCAGGAGGCUCAUUCCACGAGAUCCCCUGAAAGCACAACAGCAAAUGAUGGGGCGAACGAGGCAGGCCCCGGGGAAUCUCCAGAUCCAGUGGAAAUCGUUUACGAAGGGGAUGCACAAGGGUACAACUGGGAGGGGAAUUAG